UUAUCCUUUGAGAUAAUCACAGGGCAUCCAAUGCACUUGGCCUCUGCCACCUUUGACUCACAGCUGAUAAAAGGAAAUAUACUUCAGUAUUGUAAAGGCCUAGUUGCUUCUAUUAAAAACAAUUAUGCUUUGGUAGGACAAUCUUUUCACCAUGCACUCCAGGAAGAUGAAGAUCUUAAGCGUCAUACCUUGCAACCUGGAGAUUUUGUCUAUUGGAAAAGACACUUCUAGAAAAACCCUCUUCAGCCUCAGUGGAAGGGCCCUUAUCAGGUACUACUAAACAACCUUUAUAUUGCCAAAGUCCAGGGAAUAUACUCGUUUAUUCAUGUGACUCAUCUAAAGAAAGCACCAAACCCUGGCUGGACCUGCAAAACCAUCUGGUGACUAAGAUUUCCUGGAAUUGAAGCAGAUGACAUUUGAUGAGACAGCUUUCUCGAGAUGCCUGGACCAGAAGUUGACUGACCACCAGCAAGACUAGCUGAGACUGGAGCAAACCAGGAAGAAUUCUUGCAGUUGCACAAAAUGGACCAAGACAAAGAUCAAGAACAGGAGAAAAAGUAACAGUGCAAGAUGGAACAAGUGACCUUGCUUGCUACUGCCCUCACGCAGGAUAGACAAAGAAAAGGUAACGAAGCCAAGAUAUUAAAGUACCAGCAGAGCAGCUUCCGAAUUCCAGGCAAUAUUACAAUGAGGAGAGUAACAGCCUAUGAAUAUGUCAGAAGAGAUUCUACAAGAGGGUAUUGACUACAAAUACACCAAAGAAGGCUGGAUUUACAACAAACAAGGAAUUGUGCUGAGCCCCAAACACCUUAUAGAAUAAAUAAUUUAUUUUUUUUAACAUUUAUUUAUGUAUAAAAGAGCGUGAGUUGGUCAGGGGCAGAGAGAGGGAGACACAGAAUCCGAAGCAGUUUCCAGGCUCUGAGCUGUCAGCACAGAGCCCAACGCGGGGCUCAAAUUCAUGAACCACAAGAUCAUGACCUGAGCCAAAGUCAGAUGCUUUACCGACUGAGCCACCCAGGUGACCCUUUAUUGAAGACAUUAUUAGCCACAUUCUUUAGGGUACCCAUUAUGGAAGUGAUGCUAACUUCCAUUGGAUAGAAAGGUACACUCUAGGAUGCAAUAUACAAAGGAUUAUUCAGAAAGUAAUACAAAAAUAAAGGAUUUAUGCAAAACAAACAAACAAACAAAACAAAGACUAGCCCCCAUCUGGACUUAGGGAGUUCAAACUCAAGGGAACAGGGCUGGAGAAACUGGCAAAUAGACUUUAAGGUGAUAACCAAAGACUACCAGUAACUUUAAAUACUUAGUAUUUAUAGAUACUUUUUUUUUUAAUAUAUGAAAUUUAUUGUCAAAUUGGUUUCCAUACAACACCCCGUGCUCAUCCCAACAGGUGCCCUCCUCAAUGCCCAUCACCCACCCUCCCCUAUUUAUAGAUACUUUUACUGGAUGAGUAAAAGCUUUUCCUUGCCAUUCAAAAAAAGUCUCAGAAGUAGUUAAAGCCUUAUAAAAAGAAAUUAUUCUAAGGUUUGAGUUGCCUUUUUCCUUCCAGAUUGAUAACAGAGGAGCCUUUGUGGCCAAAGUUACUCAAGAAGUCUCUGGGCCUCUAGGUAUUCACUGGAGAUCACAUGCUUCUUUGAGAUCACAACUGAAAGACUAAAAACAAUAAACCAUACCUUUGGAAGAAAAAAAAAAACAUUAGCAGAAAUCUCUCAGGAAACUAACCUGACUUGGGACAAAGCCUUAUUGGUGGCUCUGCUUAGGAUAAGGGUGGCUCCUAGAAGCAGGCUCCCAUUGAGCCCUUAUGGAAUGAUGUAUAGGAGACCUAGACCUUUCCUUUGUUCUGAAUAUCAUUUAGGAGAUCUGGAGGGAACUGGGGUAAGAGAACUUGACACUGUAGAAUAUGUGGAAUCUCUCGGUGCAAAUUUCACACCAUUUCAUGUUUGCUUCCAGGGAAGGAUGUACCCUACAGAUGUGCCAUUGUACCAUUUGAGUCCUGGUGACUGGUUGCUGUUCAAAUCCUAGAAAAACAAACACCCUGAAGAAUAGCUUCAGCCAUGGUGGGUGGGACCAUGUGAGGUCUUAUUGGUUACUCACUCUUCUAUCAAGUUAAAAGGUGUCAAGCUAUGGAUUCAUCAUUCCUGUGUGAAGCUGGUACCAAAACAGCCGAUCCAAUCACUGUGACUUACUUAUCAGAACAAGACUGGAGACAGGAAUUUUUCAAGUCAAAAGCAUAAAAGCCAGGAUGGCCCUAACCUUGGAUGGUGGCACAUCCCAAGCACAGACUUCACUCAGUCACUUUCAGAACGGGAAUUUGCCAACUAUUCUUGGGAGCCUUGACAGAUUAUAAGUUGUUAUUCAGCAGACAAUCAGACUAACAGAGGGAUAUGACUACUGCCAAUUGUUGGUUUUUCUGUGUAGUCAUCUCUUGCUUGGAAAGAUAAUUCCAUGGUUAGAAUUUUACAGACUUAAGCUUCUCCUGGUAACUUGUCUGAUUGCUGGAUAUGUCACCUGAAGCCCUUCUCCAUAAAUGAUCAUGCUGACCCCAUAGUUAUGCUCAUAACCAAUUUCUGAAAUGUGCCUAACUUCAUGGCAUUCUAUGGAGAGAACCCUAUGGACUUAACCUCUUGGGUCAGAAUAGUUAACAGAGGGUCAUAUGUCCCCUGUUUCUUUUUAACUCCUCCUAGAGAUCCUCCUAUAAUGACCUUUAGUAGCUCAUGCAAGGGCACUGGAACCCAUGGUCAUAAAAACCAGACAUUUGCUAACAGACAGGUGGUAACUAAUGGUCUAUUUAACACAAAUUUACAUUUUUCGGGCCCAGUAUCUCUCUCUUUAGUUCAGCAGAGGUGUACUGAUUAUAUUCUUCUUUUCUCCUAUGUGCAAAUUAAAAGUUAUAAAAUAAUGCAUACCUUAACAGAAUCCCUUCCCCUUUAUAGGCAUAUAGUAUAAAUUUCAUGAUUCCAGUGAUGCUCAGCAUUGUAACAAUUCUUUAAAAAACAUUUUCCAGAACUAGAACUAGAGGGUAGGUCCAUAUUAGACAGUGACUCACUCAAUUCGCGGAAAAGUGCAAGGUUACCUAUCAGAGUAUCAGGAAGAUGGAACAGGCUAUUUCUUUGGAAGAACUUUAUUAUCAUGGGGAAGUGGCAACCCGUGAACAUAUGACUAGAAACCCAUCUAUAAUUUGGAAAUGUUAGCCAAUAAAACUGCUUUAGUUAUAGCAGCUCAACAGAAGUAUCUGGACUCUUUAGCAGAAGUAGUCUUGGACAAAAGGAUAGCUUUAGAUUAUAUUUUGGCUGAGCAGGAGGGAAUCUGUAUGGUGGCAAACAUGUCUCUGUGUCUAUACUAAUACUCCCUAUAAAGUAGAGGCUCACCUAAACAAAAUUAGACAACAGGCUGCCUGGCUUCAAGAGAUUUCAGAAGAUAUUCUGGGAUCAGACUGGUUUUCAGGUUUAUUUUCAUGGAUCCUCCAAGGCAUUGAUUAAUAGUAUAAGGACUAAUAAAAAUGGACAUGUCCAUAUUCAUCAUACUAAUUACUAGAUUUGGAAUGACAAAAUGUGUGCACAGUGUUACUCUAAGAUGGUCAGAGAAGGAACUCAUAUCCUGGUCAUGCAAAAUGUACAUACAAAGCUGGAAACAAGAAAAUGCUUCCAACUAGGUACAAAAGAAUUUCAUUCCUCAAACCCCAAAAUGUGCCUCUAAAAUCAGCAGGAAGUAGCCAGAGUGAUCAUCAUCCCCGUCUUCCCUCAAGACAGUGGAAUGAUCAAAUGAUAGAGAAGACUAAAACCAAUAUGCUGAGUUAAAAAAUGCUUGGCUCUUCCACUCUAAGGACACACUGGUUAACCUGAUUGAUUUAUGAGCUUGUUUUGCAGAAGUUGACUGACCACCAGCAAGACUAGCUGAGACUGGAGCAAACCAGGAGGAAUUCUUGCAGUUACACAGAAGAGACCAAGAGUAAAUGAAAGUAACCUCUUUGAUGACACACUCUGAGAUCUCUCUCACUCGCCAUGCUUAUCCUGCCAUUUAAGGAACAUACAUCCCAUGAAAAGACAUGAUUCCUGAAUUCCCAUCUCAGAAAGGAAGACAUCUCCCAUUUCCCCUAUAACCAAUCAGCAUAUUCCAUUCAACCUACAUACCCUGUGACAUCCUGACCCCUUAUCCUUAAAUACAUUCAACUGUAAGCCUUCA